GAUGUCACAGUAAGCUGGCUGCUCUGCUCGUGCCCAGCUUAAUGUUUCUUUAGCACAAAUAUGUACUUAUUGCUGCACAGUUGGAAAAAGCAGAAAAUCAAAUCAUUGUCCAGUUGGGAUCCAGUAGGGAAGAGAGACAUAGAGACAGUGAACUCACAGUGCGUGGUGUCCGGUGACCCACACGGGUGACUGGAUGUCUGGGAUUUACACUGAGUUCCCAGAAGGAAGCUGCCCUCAUAGAAGGGCCAGUCUGCACCAUGGGCAAUUGGAGUUGUUCAGGGGUUGACGAUCCACGUGACUAACGAUCAGCAAUGAACCCUUCCUGGGUUCAAAGCUGUCAUUUUGAAAACAGCAGAAACAACAACAACAACAACAAAACCCCAAUGCAGUAAUCUCACCAAAUGGCAGCAGAAGCCCUGCCUGUCUGUAUGAGCAAAAGAAGACAUAUGCUGCUCCGAUGGGACUCUAAUACAUCGCUGGCACCAGGAUGGCCAGCAGUGCCUGGGAAUCUGGCCUGAGCAGAGCUAUAGGAAGAGCCUCAUUAGCUACUUCGGUGUGGGCCAGAUCCUGCAGAAUCUCUUCAAAUUUGGAUUGGAAAAUGACUGACAUAGCCCCAACUUCUCAUUGUACAGCAAGACUCCUGAGGCUGAAUCUACCACCUAAAGUGGCAGAUGCUGCCAGGUGGCGUUGGGACUUUGUGACCUGGGGCACAUCUAGGAGCUUCGUCCCAUAGAAGACCAGGUGCAAGAACUUUCAGAGUAAUGAAGAAGGGGCUCACUGAGGAGAAGCAACCUGCAUGAAAGUGGUGAGAAGGGAACUUAGGUUUCCUUCAAUGUUCUCUGUUAUUAUUUUGAACUGAGAUGAUUCUUUUUAAAAAUAAAAAUGCUAUAAGAGCUGCAUAAUG
rnacentral:lncRNA from 1 species